GAUGAACGCUGACAGAAUGCUUAACACAUGCAAGUCAACUUGAACUUCGGUUUGGGUGGCGGACGGGUGAGUAACGCGUAAAGAACUUGCCUCACAGUUAGGGACAACAUUUGGAAACGAAUGCUAAUACCUGAUAUUAUGAUUUUAGGGCAUCCUAGAAUUAUGAAAGCUAUAUGCGCUGUGAGAGAGCUUUGCGUCCCAUUAGCUAGUUGGAGAGGUAACGGCUCACCAAGGCGAUGAUGGGUAGCCGGCCUGAGAGGGUGAACGGCCACAAGGGGACUGAGACACGGUCCUUACUCCUACGGGAGGCAGCAGUGGGGAAUAUUGGACAAUGGACCAAGAGUCUGAUCCAGCAAUUCUGUGUGCACGAUGAAGUUUUUCGGAAUGUAAAGUGCUUUCAGUUGGGAAGAAAAAAAUGACGGUACCAACAGAAGAAGUGACGGCUAAAUACGUG
rnacentral:rRNA from 1 species